UCCGCUGAACUGUGUCUCCUGCCUGUUUAACGUCGGGGAGAAGACACUAUAUGGCAGCGUGCUCCUCCCUCUCCCCAGCCUGGCAGCCUCAUCUGUCAACCAUUAGUUAAUCAGGGCGGGUAACGCACAAGGAGCGCAGAAAACUGGCACAGCGCGUGUGACCCAGAGGACAGCUUCACCUCUGAGAGCAGAGCAGGAGGAGGGCAAGGACCCAGGGGACCGACGGUGUCCUCCACUCUGCACUCCACUGCCAGGCUCACUCUACUCAACACUGUCUCAGGAUUGGCAGGCUGCAGUCGCGGGAUGACCCCGCCCAUUCCAUCCCAGAGGACAGACUUUUCCUGCCUCAUGAUGCCAUCUAUUUGUGAAGUGCACCAGUUCCUCCUGCAGCAAGCACCCCCACAACAUGAUGCUGCCACCCCCGUGCUUCAAGGUUGGGAUGGUGUUCUUCGGCUUGCAAGCCUCCCCCUUUUCCUCCAAACAUAACGAUGGUCAUUAUGGCCAAAGAGUUCUAUUUUUGUUUCAUCAGACCAGAGGACAUUCCUCCAAAAAUUACGAUCUUCGUCCCCAUGUGCAGUUGCAAAAUGUAGUCUGGCUUUUUUAUGGCGGUUUUGGAGCAGUGGCUUCUUCCAUGCUAAGUGGCCUUUCAGGUUGUCGAUAUAGGGCCCGUUUUACUGUGGAUAUAGAUACUUUUGUACCUGUUUCCUCCAGCAUCUUCACAAUGUCCUUUCUCCAGGAGACAGAAUACGUCUCCUUCCUGAGCGGUAUGACGGCUGCGUGGUCCCAUGGUGUUUAUACUUGCGUACUAUUGUUUGUAAAAAUUAACGCGCCACCUUCAGGCAUUUGGAAAUUGCUCCCAAGGAUGAACCAGACUUGUGGAGGUCUUGGCUGAUUUCUUUAGAUUUUUCCAUGAUGCCAAGCAAAGAAGCACUGAGUUUGAAGGUAGGCCUUGAAAUACAGGUACACCUCCAAUUGACUCAAAUGAUGUCAAUUAGCCUAUCAGAAGCUUCUAAAGCCAUGACAUUUUCUGGAAUUUUCCAAGCUGUUUAAAGGUACAGUCAACUUAGUGUAAUUGUGUAAUUGUGAUACAGUGAAUUAUAAGUUAAAUAAUCUGUCUGUAAACAAUUGUUGGAAAAAUUAAGUGUGUCAUGCACAACGUAGAUGUCCUAACCGACUUGCCAAAACUAUAGUUUGUUAACAAGAAAUGUGUGGUUGAAAAACAAGUUUUAAUGAAUCCAACCAAAGUGCAUGUAAAACUUCCGAUUUCAACUGUACCUAUUUACUGCAAUUCAAUAAAUUGUGUUCAAAUUGUGGUACAAAAUGUAAAGAUUGAAAGAGUACUUAGAAAAGGAAAUAAUGUAAUAAAACAAAUCUGUAAUAUUGGAACAGACACUGGAUCAGAUUACUGGUACUGAAGUCUUAUGCCUUCAACUUUACAGGUGGAUUUUGAAGACCACUAGUGUAAUGUUUAGUAGAGGUGGACUUAACGUGGGUUAAUAGCACCGAUAGUGGGAGCAGACUUUUCCCCCUAGUAUUUAUCCUAUAUUCCCGAGUUCUAACAAAUACCAUCUCUCAGAACAUGUGAGUGCCAGGGCUGAAUUCCUAUCACACAGUGCUCACAGUGCAACUGGAAUGGUAAUACCAAGCACAUGAUAACCAUAGUGACAGUACACUGUCUCUUCAAAAGGGGAUCAGAGCUGACAUGAACGAAGAACAAACUCACGAUUGUGUGAAGAUUGUCCAGAAUAUUACAAUCUGUUCUGGCAAACAGAUACCCAAAUACUCUUUAUAGUAAAUGGCAACAAUUUCUUGAAAAAGAUGGUCAUCUCAGCCUUAUUGAAGAUAAUCAAGGUUUAUGAUCUUCCUAACAAUGCAAUAUGUACACAUUUCCACAGGGCCAAGAAAUAUCAGUGAACAAAUACACUAAGAGAUAUUAAUACUAUGAUCUCAUUACAGCUUUGUCAGUGUCCCUGUGGGGAAAAGAAGAUGUUUGCGGAGCUCAGAGGGUAAGACAUACGCCAAUGAGCUAUCGCAGGCUGCUUUUACUGUUCAAGGUCCUGUUUUGCAGGGAAGUUUCAAAGACAGAAGUCAAAACCACACAUGUUGUCGACGUGGGAACAGCUGGUAAGGGCAGAGCGUUGUGGUGCGGAGGAAUGUUAGAGUCAUAGAUCUUUCAUCCUCACGGCCAAAAUAGCCACACACAGGCAUGAUCAUCUCCAUGCAUAGGAAGAAACACUAACCAACACAAAUACAGUCCAAUCCAACCCUGGUCAAUGCGGUCCAAAUCUUGCAUCCAGAAAUCCUUAGAUAAUUACUACAUGAGUAAGUAAGUUAUAUUUAUUCAAAUUAACUGGUAUAAACUCACAAAUAGGAUUCCUUCACAAAACAGUUGGUACAAACCAAUGACAUAAGUACAGUGGGUCAAAAAAGUAUUUAGUCAGCCACCAAUUUUGUAAGUUCUCCCACUUAAAAAAAUGAGAGGCUUGUAAUUUUCAUCAUAGGUACACUUCAACUAUGACAGACAAAAUGAGAAAAAAAUCUUGUCACAUUGUAAAAUCACAUUGUAGGAUUUUUAAUGAAUUUAUUUUCAAAUUAUGGUGGAAAAUAUGUAUUUGGUCAAUAACAAAAGUUUCUCAAUACUUUGUUAUAUACCCUUUGUUGGCAAUGACAGAGGUCAAAAGUUUUCUGUAAGUCUUCACAAGGUUUUCACACACUGUUACUGGUAUUUUGGCCCAUUCCUCCAUGCAGAUCUCCUCUAGAGCAGUGAUGUUUUGGGGCUGUUGCUGGGCAACACAGACAUUCAACUCCCUCCAAAGAUUUUCUAUUAGUUUAUUUUAAUUUUAUUUUUUUACCUUUAUUUAACCAGGCAAGUCAGUUAAGAACAAAUUCUUAUUUUCAAUGACGGCCUGGGAACAGUGGGUUAACUGCCUGUUCAGGGGCAGAAUGACAGAUUUGUAGCUUGUCAGCUCGGGGGUUUGAACUCGCAACCUUCCGGUUACUAGUCCAAUGCUCUAACCACUAGGCUACACUGCCACCCCAAGCACCCUGAGCUCUGGAGACUGGCUAGGCCACUCCAAGACCUUGAAAUGCUUCUUACGAAGCCACUCCUUCGUUGCCCGGGCGGUGUGUUUGGGAUCAUUGUCAUGCUGAAAGACCCAGCCACGUUUCAUCUUCAAUGCCCUUGCUGUUGGAAGGAGGUUUUCACUUAAAAUCUCACGAUACAUGGCCCCAUUCAUUCUUUCCUUUACACGGAUCAGUCGUCCUGGUCCCUUUUCAGAAAAACAGCCCCAAAGCAUGAUGUUUCCACCCCCAUGCUUCACAGUAGGUAUGGUGUUCUUUGGAUGCAACUCAGCAUACUUUGUCCUCCAAACACGACGAGUUGGUUUCAUCUGGUUUCAUCUGACCAUAUGACAUUCUCCCAAUCUUCUUCUGGAUCAUCCAAAUGCUCUCUAGCAAACUUCAGACGGGCCUGGACAUGUACUGGCUUAAGCAGGGGGACACGUCUGGCACUGCAGGAUUUGAGUCCCUGGCGGCGUAGUGUGUUACUGAUGGUAGGCUUUGUUACUUUGGUCCCAGCUCUCUGCAGGUCAUUCACUAGGUCCCCCCGUGUGGUUCUGGGAUUUUUGCUCACCGUUCUUGUGAUCAUUUUGACCCCACGGGGUGAGAUCUUGCAUGGAGCCCCAGAUCGAGGAAGAUU